AUUCCCCUCUCCAAUCGACUCAUUCCCGAAUUGCUUGAAACGUGUUGGGCAUCCCAUAUGUCAAAGAUAAACCCUACAUCUACAUGCAGGAUCUUACAGCAAGAACAAUCUGAGCCAGUUAGCUCAUUUUACUUUGUAAUGUUCUUUGGUUGGGCUUAAAAUUUUAAGAUCUUGUUUGAAUCUUCCAUGCUGCUAGGCCUCGGGCCAUUGGGAUGUAGGUUUGUCCCGUGGUGGUUCCUCUUCAACGCAGCUAUUACAGUUUUGUAGGCUUCCCCAACAUGUGGUUCCAUGGCUAGAGAGGCACACCAAGGGGGCACCAUGGGGGUAAGCUUUUGAGGCAGACAGAGCGUAGGCGAAAGGGAAAGGGAAAGGGAGAAAGGCAACGGUACAAAAGAGCGGACAGGUAUUGGUGGUGGCGACGGCAGCGUCGGUUGGGUGCGUGACAAACUUCCCCUCUUUUAUUACAUUUUGUCUCCUUCUUUCUCACACUUCUCUCCUCACCUCCAUUUAUUCAUUCCCUCUCUCUUACUUUUCCACUUUUCCAAAAUAGGUAAUCUCAUUCAGAGUAGCUUCGAACAUCUGAUUUUAUCGGUUAAACUCCAACACAAAAAAACACACUAAAUAUGAUGAAACAUUCAUCAAGGUCAUUCAAAAACGAAAUGAAGAAAGUGGGUGACAAUGGUAUGAUUUGUGAGCAGAUGACAUUCAUCAAAGUCAUUCAAAAACGAAAUGAGGAAAGUGGGUGACAAUGGUAUGAUUUGUGAUGCUCGCUCAGAAUAAAUUUUGUAUUCGUUAAUUCGAGUACAGUUCAAUGGAUAAGUCUCAAAAGUUGAUAAUUUAAGGAUCAAAGAGAGCAUACUUUGGUCGUAAUUGUUAUACUUCAAAAGCUUGACUUUGAAGUUAAAGUUUUGAAGCUGAAGAAAAAUAAAUGUGAAGAAACAAAGAUUUUUGAGUUUGUGAAAUUUUGGAUUAGUGAACUCCCAUGUUUCGUCUGAUCUGAACCGACAAAAUAAACUGUUCAUCUUCAUUUGAUUCAAUAUAGCAAAACAAUUACAUAUGAUCCCACUUGAAAAAGAAAAUCACCAUAACCCAGAAAGCCCAAAAGAAAAAGAAAAGAAAAAGAA